CCCUUAGAUGUCCUGGGCUGCACGCGCGCUACACUGAUGUGUCCAGUAAGCACCUAACCUAUUCCGAGAGGAGCGGGUAACCUUAGCAAAGCACAUCGUGAUGGGGAUAGAUUAUUGCAAUUAUUAGUCUUGAACGAGGAAUUCCUAGUAAGCACAAGUCAUCAGCUUGUGUUGAUUACGUCCCUGCCCUUUGUACACACCGCCCGUCGCUCCUACCGAUUGAAUGUUCCGGUGAGCUCUUCGGACUGCGCGGUCUGCAGUUUCUGCGUUCCGUGCGGAAAGUUGUGCAAACCUUAACAUUUAGAGGAAGGAGAAGUCGCAACA
rnacentral:rRNA from 1 species